rnacentral:tRNA from 1 species
GGCCGCGUGGCGGAGUGGCUUACGCAGGGGACUGCAAAUCCUCGUACCCCGGUUCAAUUCCGGGCGCGGCCU